AGAGUUUGAUCCUGGCUCAGGACGAACGCUGGCGGCGUGCUUAAUACAUGCAAGUCGAGCGGAGUUGUUAUCACUGAAGCCUUCGGGUGGACGAGAUUUCAACUUAGCGGCGGACGGGUGAGUAACGCGUGGGCAACCUGCCCUAGAGCCUGGGAUAACACCGGGAAACCGGUGCUAAUACCAGAUAUCUUUUGGUUUAGGCAUCUAAACCAAAAGAAAGGUUUAACGCUCUAGGAUGGGCCCGCGUCCCAUUAGCUAGUUGGUGAGGUAAUGGCCCACCAAGGCGACGAUGGGUAGCCGGCCUGAGAGGGUGGACGGCCACACUGGGACUGAGACACGGCCCAGACUCCUACGGGAGGCAGCAGUAGGGAAUAUUGCGCAAUGGGGGAAACCCUGACGCAGCGACGCCGCGUGAGUGAUGAAGGCCUUCGGGUCGUAAAGCUCUGUCCUCAGGGAAGAAGCAAGUGACGGUACCUGAGGAGGAAGCCCCGGCUAACUACGUGCCAGCCGCCGCGGUAAUUC
rnacentral:rRNA from 1 species